rnacentral:rRNA from 1 species
AUGCAUGCUGUAAAAUUUGGCUACAGAUGGAACAUAGGGGAUGGGAGCAGAACCAGGUUCUGGGAAGAUACUUGGUUUGGCACAUCCCCCCUAGCAGUCCAAUUUUGGCCUAUUUACUCUGUCCGCAAUGAGCUUAACAAAAGUGUCAAUGAAGUUUGGGACGGUCAAUGCCUAAAACUCUCUUUUAGAAGGAACUUUAUGAAGGAAAUAUGCCCUAGAGGCAAUAAUAAAGUUAUUAUUUAUUUCCUCAUCUAUCAUGAUAAAUGUUUAUUAUUCAUGCUAGAAUUGUAUUAA